AUUAGUCAGUCAGUCAUGUGUCAGAUUAUCUUGUCUACUAUUGGUCACAGUCAUUGAGUUCAUAGUUUUUGCCACUCUUUUUUAUAUACCUUGAGAGAAAGCUUUACAUGUAGCAGCCAUAUUUAAAAUAGUUAUAUAGUUAAAUAUUCUGGACACUUAUUCCAUAUUAAUCAGGACCAGAAUAUCUUCAUAUUAUAUUAAUCUGGUGAUGUUUCCAAACAGGAGAUAGACCUUUGUACCAUAUACAUGGGUUGAUUUAUUUAUGUCGUAUGAAUAAAGCAUCUUAAACUUGACGAAUAAUUUUAUUCUGUCCAAGAACCCUAUUACAUUUGGCGCCCACUAGUAGGUUAGACGUUCAACGACAUAUUUCCUGUUGGAGCCUCACUGAAGGUCGGGAUCUAGGACGUGACAUCCACCGGAAGAUUGGAAAAAUCAGUCGAAAAUAUUCAACACGUUGGUGAAAAUUGUUUAUUGUACAGACUAUUUGCUGUUGUAUACAUUGUUUAUGUAAUGA